rnacentral:rRNA from 1 species
UACGAGUGCCCCGAGCGUUAUCCGGAAUCAUUGGGCGUAAAGGGUGUGUAGGUGGUUAUGUUAGUCUUCCGUUAAAUUCUUCGGCUUAACCGGGGGCAUGCGGGGGAAACGGCAUAACUAGAGGAUGCGAGGGGUAUAUAGAACUCAUGGUGUAGGGGUGAAAUCCGUUGAUAUCAUGGGGAAUACCAAAAGCGAAGGCAGUAUACUGGCGCAUUCCUGACACUGAAACACUAAAGCGUGGGUAGCGAAUGGG